rnacentral:snRNA from 1 species
AUCGCUUCUCGGCCUUUUGGCUAAGAUCAAGUGUGGUAGUAGAAAGAGUAUUUUGUUUUUAGAGUUACUGCUUUUUUAAUUGUCCAGCUUACUUGGAUAAUUUCAGAAUUCAAGAAUUCAUCCAAAUAUCUGCUUCAAACUUCUU